GUCAACGAAAGGAAGAACUGAAUUUUCUGAAAAGAAAUAUUCAAUGCAAAAUCAAUCAAAAUGUUUAUAUAUGAAGAUUUAUUGAGGCAUUUAUAUAGCGUCACGCAUCCAAUAUUUGAUAAAUUUUCCGGUGAAACAUAAGCUGAAAAGCUGUCUGACUCUGAUUCAGUAAAGUUGAGCCUCCAAUUUCUUCUUGCCCGAAGCUACUCGCUUGGAAGGCCGCCGCUAAUGGCGAAACAGCCUAACAUCGUCUUCCUCGAGGAAUGGCUGAGGACCAGCAGCGGCGCCGCCGCCAAGAACCCUUCUCCUUCAUCCGCCCGGGAAAUCAUCCAGGCGUGGUCGGACCUCAGAGACUCUCUCCGUCACCAAUCCUUCAGCUCCCGCCACCUCCACUCUCUCAAGGUCCUCCUCAGCUCCCAGUCCGCCCUCCACGUGGCAGACCCCCAGGCCAAGCUCCUCAUCUCCCUCCUCUCCUCACCCGGCCUCUCUCUCCCCAGAGAAUCCUCCCCUCUCCUUCUCCGGCUUCUCUACAUCUGGGUCAGAAAAUCUUUCAGGCCCUCCACUGCGAUUCUUGAUUCUGCUGUGGAGGUUGUUGUCUCCGGGGCUCUCUGUGAUUGCAGGGCAGACCCUUUGCUGUUCGCUGAGGCUGUUCUCCUUCUGGGUGCCUUCAGUUUUGCGCCAGCUGUAUCUCAGAAGUCCAAGGUUGCCUCCUUGGAGUGCCUCGUCAAGGUUUUAUACGAGCAGUGCCCGUACCCGUUAACGGUUUCUGCUGAAAUUAUCAUUCCAAAUGUUCUUGCAGGAGUUGGGUACGCUCUUUCUUCUCCUAUCAGUGUAAAUGAUGGUAAAAUCUUGGAUUUCUUAUUUGGAGUAUGGGGGAAUGAGGGUGAGCCUUGUGCAAGUGUUCCUCAUGGACUAAUGGUUCUGCAUCUGAUCGAGUGGGUUGUUUCUGGAUAUAUAAGUGUCCGUUCUUCUGAGAGAGUUGGGUUGUUCUCAAGAAGAACUCUUGAGGCUCCUGAUGUAAAGUUUGUUCCUUUUGCUGUUCUAAUGGGUGCUGGUGGUGUCUUAAGAGCCUGCGGGAGGAUUGCACCAAGUGGGUCAGGGCUAGAACUUCUAUCCCAGCUGAGAGUUUCUGCCGAAAACAGGAUAGAAUCUAUUUCCAUGGAGCUAAUUUCUCGAACGGAGAAUUUUACCAUUGUACCAGCUGAUGGAGAUAGACUCCUUUUACUGUGUCUAUCGAUAGCAUUGGCCAGGAGUGGCUUCAUAUCUCCUCGGUCCCCUAUACUACUUUGCCUUGCUUCAGCACUGUUGGUCGAAAUCUUCCCUUUGAGACGCCUAUACCCAAAGGUGCUGGAACAUUCUCUCAGCAGUUCAACUUUAUCAGUACAUAAUGAGGUUAAAGAACACCUGGACAGUGUACUUCUUAUGGAAGCAGGUGCCAUAACAGGCAUUUUCUGUGACCAGUAUGUGGCCGCAGAGGAAGAGAACAGAAGCACGGUUGAGAGUCUUGUAUGGAAUUAUUGUCGAGAUAUAUACUUGGGUCACCGUCCUGUGGCUUUGGUUCUCUGCAGCCGUAAUGAUGGAUUGCUUGCAGAUUUGGAGAAAAUUGCAGAACCUGCUUUUCUUAUGGUAGCGGUCUUCGCAUUAGCUGUAACGAAGCAAAAAUUGAAUACCAAGUACUCUCAGGAGGCUCAAAGGGAGGUUUCACUGCGGAUAUUGGUAGCAUUUUCAUGUGUAGAGUAUUUCAGGCGAAUGCGAUUGUCCGAGUACAUGGAUACAAUCAGAGGAGUUGUUGGAUGUAUUCAAGAAACUGAGUAUGCCUGCAUAUCUUUUGUGGAGUCAAUACCUUCUUAUCUUGACUUGACAAAGGGGCAAGAAUGUUCACUUUCUCAAGGAAUGGAAUAUAAUUGGUCCAUAGAUGGGGUGCAAACUGCUCGUAUUUUGUUUUACCUGCGAGUCAUUCCUACCUUCAUUGAAAGGUUACCAAGCAAUGUUUUUCGGGAUUCUGUGGCUCCAACUAUGUUCCUAUACAUGGGACAUCCUAAUGCAAAAGUUGCUCGGGCGUCACAUUCUCUAUUUGCUGCCUUCCUCUCCUCCGGGAAGGAUUCUUUUGAGGAUGAGCAAGCCUCGCUCAAGGAGCAAUUCUCAUACUAUUACGUGCAGAGGUCUUUAGAGGGAUUUCCUGAUAUAACUCCUUUUGAGGGUCUGGCUUCGGGAGUAGGGGCCCUUGUUCGGCAUCUUCCUGCAGGUAGUGCCGCCAUUUUCUACUGCAUUCACAGUCUUGCUGAGAAGACCAAUGCGCUUUGCAGAGUGGUGCUCUCUCGCCAAGAAUCUGAUGCAUGGAAGAGUUUGCAAGGAGAGAAUGAACCUUGCAAAAAGAUCCUUGACUUGCUUCUCCGGCUUCUCUCUCUUGUUGAUAUUCAAGUAUUACCCGAUUUGAUGAAGUUGGUGGCAAAAAUGAUCGUUCAGCUACCCAAAGAUGCCCAGGACAUGUUUCUCAAUGACUUGUAUUCACAGGUUGCAGAUUCUGAUGAUGUGACACGCAAGCCCACAUUAGUUUCAUGGCUUCAGUCACUGUCUUACCUGUGUUCUCAGAACUCGAGCAGAACCACUGAACCUAUGCCUUCUUCUUCUUCUUCUUCUUUGACUGACCCAUUAUAUGCUCGACUUUGAAGAGUUAGGUAAAGCAAACCUGAUGAAGAUCUGGAAACCAACAGACGGAAGUGGGUUUCAUGUACAAAGUAUAGAAGCCCUGCUAAGUGUUUCUUGGUCUCUACUCUCUAGGCCAAGGGAGAUAGGUCCUCGAGUUGACCAAGUUCGCCACAGAUUGUGAAGUUCACUGCCGUGCAUUGGCCCUCGAGGUGACUGACCUGCUAUGAUGAGUCACACUACUUGGUAUUCAGGAUCUCUGAAAUCAUGACAUCACAAGUUGGAGAGUUAAGACCCUAACUGGUGCGAGAUCUGGUGCUUGUUUAUUGGGGUCACUUCACUUGUGAGAUAUGGUAGUGCUGCCAUUUUUUACUGCAUUCACAGCCUUGCCGAUAAAACUAAUACACUUUGCAGAGUGUCCUCUCUCACCAAGAUUCUGAUACGUGGAAGAGCUUGCAAAGAGAGAAUGAACCUUGCAGAAAGAUCCUUGACUUGCUUCUCUGGUUUCUGUUGUCUGUUGAUGUCAAAGUAAGCUGGUGCUUACACGGAACAGACUGAGGAUUUGGAAUGGUUUUUCUUCUUUUUGGAUGAGUAAAUUGGAAUAAUUGGCAAUCAGCGGAUGAAAUUUCCAGAAGCUCAACACAUAUACGAGUGUAUAUGAUUUUUCAUACUAGAUAUACUAUUAUGGUGCACUGUCAUACAAGAUGAAGAUUUUUGGAAAGUGUUGUGUGUACUGUGUAUUAGAGAAAGCUUCUGAUCUCCUAUCUUGUCUGAUCUUCUUCUUCUUCUUCUUCAGUUAACUAAGUUCACUGCAGAUUGUGAA